rnacentral:lncRNA from 1 species
AGGGCAUGCAAGGGCUAAUUGAGUUCAAUGACAACAAAUAAUGAUUUCAUUCUUCAUUACAUCCAGAGAAACAAGAAGGCAAUGAGUAUACAAACCAACAAACAUCUUCUCAAACUCCUCCAGAAUCAAUAAAAAAAAAAAAACCAAAUAUUUUGUACAAUUCCAGCCAUUGUUUGCUCGGACAAGAUGCUACUUCAUAUACUUGACAUGUUAUCCAUGAUUGCACAAAAGGGACAAAAUUCAGAUCUAAUAUUCUGAUUCUUCUCGAGAGAAUCACACUGGUCCCUGAGGGAUAAGAUUUACACUGAACAGCUG